UUGUUAAAGGGAGAACAAUUCAAGUUCACAGAUGCAGAGAAAUAGACACAGAUGUAGACAUGAAAGCAUACUGCACAACGCCAAGCCCAACUCCACCAUGCCAGGGGUCCCCCUUACAACCAAUGCCACCCUUUUACAAGAAUAACAGAGAGGCAGAGUGAGCAAAAUUGAGAAGCAGACCUCUUUCUCCUGGGGACUCUUCUGUGCUUCUUCUUUCUUUUGUUAUUGGUACCUUCCUGCCAUCAGAUACCCAGGUCCAGCUUGCUUCUCUGGGCCACAUAAGCGUUUGUUGUAUGCCUAUCAUGUGCCAGGCACUGCCAGGGUGACCAUGUUCCUUCAUGAGGCUGUCCCAAGCAAUAUGACAUUUUAUUGUCCUUCAUUGAAUAUUGUGCAUCAGCUGAAUUCCUUUUCAAAGGGUGCCUAGUAAAUACCAUAGAUAAUUCUUUCAUCCACCUUUUUCAGUUUAGAAAACCCUAUCUACUGCAAUAUUGUUGGACUGAACCAAUUGUUCCCAACUCUUUUUCCGAGACCAAUAAAUAUCUCUAAUCCCAAGUGUUACAGGCAAAUAAAAAUGUAAUUAUCUUAUUGAUGACAAGAAAGCUACAAACA